rnacentral:rRNA from 1 species
GCGGAAGCCGGGAAUGGAAAGCCCGGUGCAAGCGGGGUACCAGCCACUUUGGCAAAUCCGGGUGGCAAUGGGAAGCCGUGAUGCGGAGCGAAAUAAAGUAGCGAAGUCCGUGAGCCAUGCGUCAAGAAAAGCCGCUAUUGUUUAUACCGUACCCGUACCGUAAACCGACACAGGCGGAUGAGGAGAGAAUCCCAAGGCCGGCGGAAGAAGCAUUGUCAAGGAACUCGGCAAAAUGGCCCCGUAACUUAGGGAUAAGGGGUGCCUGGGAAACCAGGCCGCAGAGAAUAGGCUCAGGCAACUGUUUAGCAAAAACACAGGUCUAUGCGAAACCGAAAGGUGAGGUAUAUGGGCUGACGCCUGCCCGGUGCUGGAAGGUUAAGAGGAGAGGUUAGCGCAAGCGAAGCUUUGAAUUUAAGCCCCAGUAACCGGCGGCCGUAACUAUAACGGUCCUAAGGUAGCGAAAUUCCUUGUCGGGUAAGUUCCGACCCGCACGAAAGGCGUAAUGAUUUGAGCGCUGUCUCGACAAUGCAUCCGGUGAAAUUGAAGUACCAGUGAAGAUGCUGGUUACCUGCGCCAGGACGGAAAGACCCCAUGGAGCUUUACUCCAGUCUGGUACUGGGACUCGGUAUUGCAUGUACAGGAUAGGUGGGAGGCUGAGAAAUGGUAACGCCAGUUGCCAUGGAGCCGCUGUUGGGAUACCACCCUUGCAGUAUUGGGUUUCUAACCAGCCGCCGUGACCCGGCGGUGGGACAAUGCCAGACGGGGAGUUUGACUGGGGCGGUCGCCUCCGAAAGGGUAUCGGAGGCGCCCAAAGGUUCCCUCAGAAUGGACGGAAACCAUUCGAAGAGUGCAAAGGCAGAAGGGAGCUUGACUGCGACACCGACGGGUGGAGCAGGUACGAAAGUAGGGCUUAGUGAUCCGGUGGUAUUAAGUGGGAAUGCCAUCGCUCAACGGAUAAAAGCUACCCUGGGAUAACAGGCUUAUCACUCCCAAGAGUUCACAUCGACGGAGUGGUUUGGCACCUCGAUGUCGGCUCAUCGCAUCCUGGGGCUGUAGUAGGUCCCAAGGGUUGGGCUGUUCGCCCAUUAAAGCGGUACGCGAGCUGGGUUCAGAACGUCGUGAGACAGUUCGGUCCCUAUCCGGCGUGGGCGUAGGAUAUCUGAGAGGAGCUGUCCUUAGUACGAGAGGACCGGGAUGGACGGGCCGCUGGUGCAUCGGUUAGACUGCCAAGUCUACGGCCGAGUAGCCAAGCCCGGAAGGGAUAAACGCUGAAGGCAUCCAAGCGUGAAGCCCCCCUUAAGAUGAGAUAUCCCAUUCGAAAGAAGUAAACCCCCUUGAAGACGACGAGGUAGAUAGGGCAGAGGUGGAAGUGCAGCAAUGCAUGGAGCUGACUGUUACUAAUCGGGUGAGGGCUUGACC